rnacentral:lncRNA from 1 species
UUUUCUAAAAUGGUUCUAGUUUAAAAACAAUUCAGUUUUUUUUAAACAACAGCGGUAGUACCAGUAGUGUACUACACUACACACACGCAACAGUCAGUGGGGGGAUAAGAACAGAGGAGAGGCGGCAGAACAGGGGAUUUAGGGUUAGAGAGAGAGAGGCGAUUGAACAAAUCGCUAUCUGCAGCACAUCGAUUUCAUAAUUAGUUGAAUUGUUUCCUUCAUCUCUAGGGAUGUAGGUAUGCUUGAUUUGUGUGUAUAUUUAUAUGUGAUUGGUUUUGUUGAUUGUUGGGUGGCGAUGUAUGGUCGGAGACCGCGAGUAGGUGGUGGACACGGGGGAAAGAGGCGACGUCGUGUGGGAAGGGAGGAAGAAGGAAGGUCUGGCUGCGUAAGGUUGUGUCGGUGUUGCGUGGGGGUUACAUCGCUGUAGAGAGAAAGGAGGAGUUUGAGAAAGAGUUGAAGUUGGGAUAUGCUCGUAAAGUGUUUGAGGGAAUUCCCGAGAGAGAAGAUGGGUAUACAACCUAGGCGUGAGUCGCAGGAGGUGGCACGAUGGUUUUGCGUGAGCCACUACUGGGGUUGUUGUGACUUUGACGAUGGCAAGAGGUGAGAGGAGAGACCAGGAAGCUAUCCAUUCAAGUUGAAGGGUUGAGGCGCUGAUUUAUGGCGUCGAUUAAGAAAGUUGGGAGGGUUUGGCUAUGGCAGUUUCGGUAGUGUGAAGGCUGGGGAGUUUACUGUCGAAGAAGACAGAGGAGGGUUAAAAAGAGGGAACCAAGGGGGUUGUAUAUAUUUGGUUUUAGUUGGAAAGUUGAAGGCUGUUGGUGGUCUGGGGAAUCAACAGACUCGCUGCUUGUGGGACUGAGCAGGGCGCUGCAGCUUGGUGGUUUUAAAGGGAGAGGAGAGUUAUAGUUGAGCAGUGGUGGUGGAUUGCAGACCUGGUAACAAAGUAUAGUUGUCAUCAGUGGUUGGAAUCGGAAAUAGUGAGGUCAUUGUUUCAGUUGGUCACCAGAGGGAGAAUUGCCAAUAUGUUGGCUGGUGUCUGUGCUGGUGUAUAUGUGUGGGGAGGAUGGAGCUGAAAGAGAUGGACAGAAUUAUAAAGCUGGUUUGUUUCUGGUGGUCAAAAUCGAAGAGGAAAUACAGUGUCCUUGGUGAUUGGAAGGGUGAUGUAGUCGAGGUUGGAACUAACAAUGGUUGAUGUUUGGGUUACCAUGACGGAGCUCGAGGGAGUCUUUUCAGGGGAUUUGUUGGCUAUUUGUGCUGCAAAUAUGAGUGGUGCUUUGGCCCUGGCUGGCCAGAAUUAGUGUUGGCUCAGGCGACUUUGGAUGCAGAGAAAGGAGCUGUUGGGUGGUGGUGAACAGAGUUGUAGGGCGAGGCAGUGGUGCCAAGAGAAUAGAAUAUUAAAUUUAUUGUUAUUAUAAUUGUUAUUGUUGUUUCUUAACAAUGAUAAUAGUGAUAAUAAUAAUAAUCUUUAAUAGUUUAUUGAGCCAAUUAUAGGUAAUUGUUGAUUAGUCAUUGUAUGCUUGUAUAUUAAUUGUAGUGCUGAUUUAAAUUCCGGGUUAUAAUUAUUUAAAAUCUCGCGACAGUUGUUAUGAAUUUCAUUUAAAAUUGAGAAGUUGUUAUCUACUUCUUAAAAUCAAAUAUUGAUUUCAGAUUAAAAUUAUUAUAAUGUUGUCGUGAUUAUUUUGUUUAGAUCCCGGAAGUGAUUGUUGAUUAUAAAUAAUUAUUGAUUGUGACUUGUUAAUUUUUGGAUGUGAUUAUUAUUUGAAUCACAUACCCAGCUAUAUAAGUUGGUGUUUUGACUUAUAUUUAUAUUAGACAGGAUUGUUGUGUUAUUAAAUUGUGGUUUGCUCAAUUUUAAAAUGUAUGUUGUCCAAAAUUAUAUUAUUUUAUUAAUUUAGUUUGAUGAGAUGUGAUUGAAUUACAAGAGGACUUGUAAUUCAGAUUUGGUUUAUAUCCAAGGUUAUGUUGUUAAUGGGAUUGAUUGGUUGUAUAUAAUUGAAUAUAGGAUUAUAUACACGAUUCAUAUGAUUAUAUUGAUAUAAAUAUUAAAGCAUGCAAAUUAUUUGAUACGUGUUGAUGUGAUUAUAUGUUUAACUGGUUAACACUAUGUGUAUAUAUUAAUUGCAUAUAUUAUAUGUUUACAUGACGAAGGGUAGUAAUAUAAUUUCGAUUCUGCGAAUUGACGACUUCCUGGAUUACUCUUGACUGAAAUAUUAUACUGCUUUAAUAUAUAGUCUCUCGAGACGCGUGCAUCAACGAUUGUCAGAAGCAAGCAAAUAGCGUGGCAAGGCAAGUCAGAAAUAUUUUGAUAAGGCGAUAUUGUGCCGUAAGAUAGUCCAAUAGAUUAUAGUCAUUUCAGAAUUAGCGAUUGAGGCCAAUCUAGGAAUCUCGAGUAGGUGACUGUGUGUCACUUGUUUCUGUCAAAGGCAAGUAUCCCUAUCUUCACUUAUUGUUCAAGUGAUAUUUUCUUUAAACCCUUAUGCAAGUAAUUCUAUUCUCUAACUUGUAUUUACUGCAAGUAUUCCUAUUCUUCUUUUUUAUUUAAAGAGCAAAUAUUUCAAUUCCCUCUUUUAAGCAAGUUUGCAAUUAUGACUUGUACUUCCCGCAAGCAUGUUUCUGAUAUUUAAAAGUGCAAAUACUUUUAUCUUGUCUUGUGAUUUAAAAUAUCGAAUAUCUUUAGUUCGAUACUUUUUUACUGUUAUAUGAACAGUAACAACUUUAUUUGAAAAGCAUUCUGAUUAUUUUAAUCAGUUUUCUGAAAGAUUAUUGUCUGAGUUCUUUUACAGUUUGGAACUAUUGAUGACUCAAUAGCAGUCAUAUUUUGAUACUACAAUAUAUGUCUGGUCUUCUGUCCCAGACAUAAACCCUGGAUUUUAAAUAAUUAAAUAGUUUUGUUUUUCCGUUGAGCCGUAUUACGGUGGAUUUUUAAAUUGUACUCAGACUUUAAUGAAAUUUAUUUUGACAGUAUUUUGAGUUUGAAAACUAAAGAGUUUCAGAAAGGUUUUGAAAGGAUGAUUUUAUGGCGUAAGGGGCUAUUUAAUACUCCAGCCAGAUAGACCAGCAAAAUAUUGUUUUGAGAACAGGUGUUAAUCAUCUGCUUCCGGAAGAAAUCGGAAGAUUUCUUUGUUUUUGCAUAGGUGGCCGGGACGGCGGUCCAGCGAAGGGCUAGGUAUUAUAUGAAAUAUGUAUAAUACCAUUUCUGCCAAAGGCCAAUGUGUUGCCUUCUGUUUGGUACCUAUUGUUUGGAUCUGCUUCUGCGAAGCAUGAUUCGGUGCUAUCACUGGAUUUCCUGAUCAGCUGUGAUAGUACGUCCGUUGUUUAAAACCUGGUCAUUAUUAUUUAAGCUUAUGUUAGCUUUUGAUUACUGUCAGAUAUAUCUUGUGAAUUUUCAAGCAUAUUGAUUUAUAUGUUUGAUAAACUUUUGAUUUACAAUUGUUAGAUUUACUUCAAAAGUUGGUUUUAUUUCAAAUACUCUAAUUUAAUUCAAAAAAAAAAAAAUUAAUAUCUUAUGGCUCUUGCCUUCAUAUUAUCUUGCUGAGCAUUUUCGCUCACUCUUGCUAUUAUUUCUAAUCCUUUCAGCUAGGGAUUGAGAUAGUCACUUGUGUAAGCUGCGCGUAAGAUUGAUGCUAAGCGAGAUUUCCAGGGAGAUGUUUGCAAGAAUAGCUUCGGUUAGAACUAGUCUAUUUCAGUUCAGUUGUAAAUAGAUUUAUUUACUUGGUUAUCAGUCAUUCUUCUUAUCGGGGUUUAACUGAUAAUGUAAUUUAAGUUGUAAUAAGAGUUGAUAGUUUUGGUUUCUGAUUUCAGUGCUGUAACCUAUUAGCGAUCCUGUUUUUAGGGGGUCAAAGUGGUUUUGAUUUAAAUCUCUUUUAAAAUGUCCA